rnacentral:rRNA from 1 species
UACGAAGGGGGCUAGCGUUGCUCGGAAUCACUGGGCGUAAAGGGUGCGUAGGCGGCCUGUUAAGUCGGGUGUGAAAGCCCCGGGCUCAACCCGGGAAGUGCAUUCGAAACUGGCAGGCUUGAAUAUGGAAGAGGGUCGCGGAAUUCCCGGUGUAGAGGUGAAAUUCGUAGAUAUCGGGAGGAACACCAGUGGCGAAAGCGGCGACCUGGGCCCAAUAUUGA